rnacentral:rRNA from 1 species
UACGAAGGGGGCUAGCGUUGCUCGGAAUCACUGGGCGUAAAGCGCACGUAGGCGGAUUGCUAAGUCAGGGGUGAAAUCCUGGAGCUCAACUCCAGAACUGCCUUUGAUACUGGUGAUCUUGAGUCCGGGAGAGGUGAGUGGAACUGCGAGUGUAGAGGUGAAAUUCGUAGAUAUUCGCAAGAACACCAGUGGCGAAGGCGGCUCACUGGGCCCGGUACU